GGUGGAAACAUCCCUUCCCCUUAAAAGGCUGCUGCAUAGGUGCUGCAUGGCUGUCGUCAGCUCGUGUCGUGAGAUGUUGGGUUAAGUCCCGCAACGAGCGCAACCCUUAUCCCUAGUUGCCAUCGGGUCAAGCCGGGCACUCUAGUGAAACUGCCUCGGAUAACGAGGAGGAAGGUGGGGAUGACGUCAAGUCCUCAUGGCCUUUAUGUCCAGGGCUACACACGUGCUACAAUGGUCGGUACAAACCGUCGCAAACCCGUGAGGGGGAGCUAAUCGGAAAAAGCCGGCCUCAGUUCGGAUUGGAGUCUGCAACUCGACUCCAUGAAGCUGGAAUCGCUAGUAAUCGCGGAUCAGAACGCCGCGGUGAAUACGUUCCCGGGCCUUGUACACACCGCCCGUCACAUCACGAAAGUGGGCCGUACUAGAAGCAGGUGUGCUAACCGCAAGGAGGCAGCCUUCCAAGGUACAGCUCAUGAUUGGGGUGAAGUCGUAACAAGGUA
rnacentral:rRNA from 1 species